rnacentral:rRNA from 1 species
AUUGAACGCUGGCGGCAGGCCUAACACAUGCAAGUCGAGCGGAUGAAGGGAGCUUGCUCCUGGAUUCAGCUGCGGACGGGUGGGUAAUUCCUAGGAAUCUGCCUGGUAGCUGGGGCUAACGGCCUAAAACGGGCGCUCAUACCGCAUACGUCCUGAGGGAGAAAGUGGGGGAUCUUCGGACCUCACGCUAUCACAUGAGCCUAGGUCGGAUUAGCUAGUUGGUGGGGUAAAGGCCUACCAAGGCGACGAUCCGUAACUGGUCUGAGAGGAUGAUCAGUCACACUGGAACUGAGACACGGUCCAGACUCCUACGGGAGGCAGCAGUGGGGAAUAUUGGACAAUGGGCGAAAGCCUGAUCCAGCCAUGCCGCGUGUGUGAAGAAGGUCUUCGGAUUGUAAAGCACUUUAGGUUGGGAAGAAAAGCAGUAAGUUAAUACCUUGCUGUUUUGACGGUACCAAAAGAAUAAGCACCGGCUAACUUCGUG